rnacentral:lncRNA from 1 species
UCGGUGCGCAUCUCUUGCCCUGAACCCAGGCCCUGGGCAGCUGGCACUCUGGUGAGGACAGCAGCAGCACAGUGCAGUACAGAUAAGAUGGAGUCUGAUGGUGUCACUGUGGUGCAGAGCCUCCCCUGUCCUCCUGUCACAGGGAUGAACUCCAAGCCCUCAUGAUGAUGACCCAACCCCAGGC